CCUUGGAAACGGAAACUCUGCCAUUUGCACAGUAGUUGUGUUGCUAAUCUCAUUUCGGCAUAAUGAAUCUGAAAAUUGUGAGGGAACUUUGGCUGUGCCUCUAGAAAACGCACUAAACUCCAUCCAGUGUAUCAGAGACAGAGUAAGAGAUGGAGAAUCAGGUGAUCACGGUGGAACAUUCGAUCUCUCCAUGUUCUGGAAAACUUUGAACCAGGCAGUGGAGGCAAUGUCUGAGGAUG